UACGAAGGGGGCUAGCGUUGCUCGGAAUCACUGGGCGUAAAGGGUGCGUAGGCGGGUCUUUAAGUCAGGGGUGAAAUCCUGGAGCUCAACUCCAGAACUGCCUUUGAUACUGAGGAUCUUGAGUUCGGGAGAGGUGAGUGGAACUGCGAGUGUAGAGGUGAAAUUCGAUAGAUAUUCGCAAGAACACCAGUGGCGAAGGCGGCUCACUGGCCCGGUACUGACGCUGAGGUGCGAAAGCGUGGGGAGCAAACAGG
rnacentral:rRNA from 1 species